rnacentral:rRNA from 1 species
UACGUAGGGUCCGAGCGUUGUCCGGAAUUACUGGGCGUAAAGAGCUCGUAGGUGGUUUGUCGCGUUGUUCGUGAAAACUCACAGCUCAACUGUGGGCGUGCGGGCGAUACGGGCAGACUGGAGUACUGCAGGGGAGACUGGGAAUUCCUGGUGUAGCGGUGGAAUGACGCAGGAUAAUCAGGAGGAACACCGGUGGGCGAAGGCGGGGUCUCUGGGCAGUAACUGACGCUGGAGGAGCGAAAGCGUGGGGAGCGAACAGG